rnacentral:rRNA from 1 species
UGGGGAAUAUUGGACAAUGGGCGCAAGCCUGAUCCAGCCAUGCCGCGUGAGUGACGAAGGUCUUCGGAUUGUAAAGCUCUUUUUACCAGGGACGAUAAUGACGGUACCUGGAGAAUAAGCCCCGGCUAACUUCGUGCCAGCAGCCGCGGUAAUACGAAGGGGGCUAGCGUUGUUCGGAAUUACUGGGCGUAAAGCGCAUGUAGGUGGUUGCAUAGGUUUGAUGUGAAAGCCCCGGGCUUAACCUGGGAAUGGCGUUGAAGACUGUGGAACUAGAGUCGGACAGAGGGUCGUGGAAUUUCCGGUGUAGCGGUGAAAUGCGUAGAGAUCGGAAAGAACACCAGUGGCGAAGGCGGCGACCUGGGUCCAGACUGACACUGAGGUGCGAAAGCAUGGGGAGCAAACAGGAUUAGAUACCCCAGUAGUCCCUGAGCGGGCUGGCAAGGCGCAU